CUGAACUACAUAGUCCCGGUGGCCGAAUGGGUAAUGCGGCCACCAGGUAGCGCCUUGGCGUGGGGACCCAAGGUUCGUGGGUUCGAAACCCACAGGGGACAACAUUACAUCCAGAGCCAACUUCUCAGCUUCUAAAAUAAUGGGAUGUGAACUUGCCAAGUAGGUACCUUCAGGCGGACCUACUAUCUGAUUUAGCUUAUUGUUUCUGGGCUGGAAACCUGUAUUGCAUGUAUCAAAUCCUGUCUUUCAUUAAUUUUCCUAUGUUCUUGUUAUAUUCUUGGCGUUGUUCAACACUAAGCAUUCCUCCGGUAUAACCAACUCUUGCCUGUAUUUAACAUCACACAAGGACUCGUCAUAAGCGCUGCUUGCAUACGAGUAUAACGGAAGAAUAAUAAUAAUAAUAAUCUGAACUACAUAAUCUGAAACAGA
rnacentral:sRNA from 1 species